GGCUGGUCCGAUGGUAGUGGGUUAUCGGAACUUAUUAACCUUAGUGUCACUAAAGUUGGUAUACAACCCCCCCACUGCUAAAUUUGACUGGCUUUAA
ensembl:Y_RNA Y_RNA Y RNA